rnacentral:rRNA from 1 species
CCUACGGGAGGCUGCAGUGAGGAAUAUUGGUCAAUGGGCGCGAGCCUGAACCAGCCAAGUCGCGUGAGGGAAGACGGUCCUAUGGAUUGUAAACCUCUUUUGUCGGGGAGCAAAAGACGCCACGCGUGGCGUUCCGAGAGUACCCGAAGAAAAAGCAUCGGCUAACUCCGUGCCAGCAGCCGCGGUAAUACGGAGGAUGCGAGCGUUAUCCGGAUUUAUUGGGUUUAACGGGUGCGCAGGUGGUAGUUCAAGUCAGCGGUAAAAUUGAGGGGCUCAACCUCUUCGAGCCGUUGAAACUGGUUGUCUUGAGUGAGUGAGAAGUAUGCGGAAUGCGUGGUGUAGCGGUGAAAUGCAUAGAUAUCACGCAGAACUCCGAUUGCGAAGGCAGCAUACCGGCGCUCAACUGACGCUCAUGCACGAAAGUGUGGGUAUCGAACAGGAUUAGAUACCCCUGUAGUC